GUGGCUUGAGGAUCCAAGCAGCCAAAGAUUGCUAGACUCUCUCACGCGCCUCGUCUUCUCUCUUCUCCGAAGCACCUCGACGGCUCACACGGAGCUCUCAACUGUACACAGACUUCACACAAAAAGGAGAGGAUUUAUUUCAAGGACAUAUUAAAGAAGAAAAAGGACGUUUUCAGAAUUAUAUAAAUCUAUGAGUAUAUAUUUUAAUACUAAAAAAGAAGGAAGCUAUUUAAAAGAGUACUGUAUAACUUGGGUAUUCUCUUCAAAUGUAAAAGAUUAUUUUUUGUGGGGUGGUUAAUUUUUUUUUUCCCCACAAUGUAUAGAAUAAGAACUGCGCUAUAUGUAAAAAGUGUCCACAAAAAGUGAGAUGUUAUUAAGAUAUUAGGCUAUUGAAAACAACAUAUUGAACACGUGGUCAGUGUUGUAUUUGUAUUGUUCUGAACUUCUUUUUUUUGCUGCUACAUUUCAAAACUAUGUUAAGUGAUUUGCCUUAAAAAGAUGCAGUUUCCUCCUCUUCCCCCCCUGGUUUAAAUGAGUUUUUUUUUGUUCUUUUUUUACACAGUAUUAAACUGUGAGAGAUUCUGUGUCUGACACACACUCUGUUGAACUGAUUAUAGACGCUCUCUGUCACAGUGUGCACUGUUCUCCGCAGCAGACAGUCGUAACCGUUGUGCCUUCAAUUCGUCCCCUUUUCCUUGUUAUCACAGGAAUCAGCACUCAGUAUUAUGUCCUCGCUUUGGUGUAAAUAUGUUUCGUCUCGUCCAGACACACAAUGCUAGUCAAGAAGCAGUAGCAUCUAUCCGAAUGUGGUUGCGAUCAGUUAGCCAGCGAGCUAAAAGGCUCACACCUAAUUCAUAUUUCACGUUUAAUCCUUCUUCCUCUGCAGUUAUCAACUACUUGAAGGAGCUGUGAUAAGAUUGAUUUUUUUCUCGCAGUUUUUGUAAGCUCUAAAGUGGGUGAAGCUCACAUUGGUCACUUUGUUUUUGACAAUUGUUCACCUUCUUAUGUUAUGUUAAAAGGGAAUUAUUAAAUCCAAUGCAAAGGGAGUGAUUUUAUGUUAUAAUUAUUAUUAUUAAUUUCUCCAUUUUCCUUUGCUGGCUGCUUUGGGUUUGCGACACGUUCAUGGCGUCACAAGCCUGUGCAAUUAUUACUUUAUGUAAACUGGCUCGACCUCUCUAGUGCUCCAGCCUGCUCUCACUCACUUUCUAAUUUCUCACUCCUCCUGCUAAUACAAACCUCAUAUAUGGCACAAUACAUUCUUUUUCGUUCUUAGGAUUUUCAUGUUGUCUUUUUCGUUGAUGUUGUCGUUGUUCGGUAUUGGUCUCAUCACUGCCAGGUUAAAUUGCAGGGAUUUCUUUUUUUUGUUGUUGAAGUGGCAGCUUUGGUUUCUUUUGUGCAUAUGAAAGAAAAGUAGCCACUGUGCAGUUGUGAAUAAUUAAGCAGUGAGCAAAGCACCAGUUACAGUUCGAUCAGACCGUAGACCGACC
ensembl:lncRNA